rnacentral:rRNA from 1 species
AUGAUCCCUACCUUAUUGACCGCAACUUCUGUAUUUAUUAUCGCCUUCAUCGCUGCCCCUCCAGUAGAUAUUGAUGGUAUUCGUGAGCCUGUUUCUGGUUCUUUACUUUAUGGAAACAAUAUUAUCUCUGGUGCUAUUAUCCCUACUUCUGCGGCGAUCGGAUUGCACUUUUACCCAAUUUGGGAAGCUGCAUCUGUUGAUGAGUGGUUAUACAAUGGUGGUCCUUAUGAGCUAAUUGUUCUACACUUCUUACUUGGUGUAGCUUGUUAUAUGGGUCGUGAGUGGGAACUUAGUUUCCGUCUGGGUAUGCGUCCUUGGAUUGCUGUUGCAUAUUCAGCUCCUGUUGCAGCUGCUACAGCUGUUUUCUUGAUUUACCCUAUUGGUCAAGGAAGCUUUUCUGAUGGUAUGCCUUUAGGAAUCUCUGGUACUUUCAACUUUAUGAUUGUAUUCCAGGCAGAGCACAACAUCCUUAUGCAUCCAUUCCACAUGUUAGGUGUAGCUGGAAAUAAUUAG